GGCUCGCGGCCUAUCAAUUAGUUCGUGACGUAUCGGCUCACCAAGGCUAAGACGGGUAGCUGGUCUGAGAGGACGUCCAGCCUCUCUGGAAGUGAGACACGGUCCAGACACUUACGCGUGGCAGCAGUUGAGAAUUUUUCUCAAUGGGGGAAACCCUGAAGGAGCGACGCCGCCUGGGGGAUGAAUGGCUUCGGCCCGUAAACCCCCGUCAUUUGCGAACACACCUUUCGGCUUAAUAGACCGAAAAGUGAUAGUACCGAAAGAGGAAGCGCCGGCUAACUAUGUGCCAGCAGCCGCGGUAAUACAGAGGUCCCAAGCGUUGUUCGGAUUCAUUGGGCGUAAAGGGUUCGUAGGCGGUUGGGUAAGUCUGCCGUGAAAAUUCGGGGCUCAACUCGGGAAUUGCGUUGAAUACUAUCCCACUAGAGUGUUGUAGGGGAGACUGGAAUUCUUGGUGUAGCAGUGAAAUGCGCAGAUAUCAAGGAGGAACACCAGUGGCGAAGGCGAG
rnacentral:rRNA from 1 species